rnacentral:rRNA from 1 species
GGAUUGCCCUAGUAACGGCGAGUGAAGCGGCAACAGCUCAAAUUUGAAAUCUGGCUCCGGCCCGAGUUGUAAUUUGCAGAGGAAGCUUCUGGUGAUAUACUGUCUAAGUCCCCUGGAACGGGGCGCCACAGUGGGUGAGAGCCCCAUAUGACAGCUGUAGAUCCUGUGUGAAGCUCCUUCGACGAGUCGAGUAGUUUGGGAAUGCUGCUCUAAAUGGGAGGUAAAUUCCUUCUAAAGCUAAAUAUUGGCCAGAGACCGAUAGCGCACAAGUAGAGUGAUCGAAAGAUGAAAAGCACUUUGAAAAGAGAGUUAAACAGCACGUGAAAUUGUUGAAAGGGAAGCGCUUAUGACCAGACUUGCGCUGGGCUAAUCAUCCGGUGUUCUCACCGGUGCACUUGGCCCAGCUCAGGCCAGCAUCGGUUUUGGUGGGGGGAUAAAGGCGCUGGGAACGUAGCUCUUUCGGGAGUGUUAUAGCCCAGUGUGCAAUGCCCCCGCUGGGACCGAGGUUCGCGCAUUUGCAAGGAUGCUGGCGUAAUGGUCAUCAGCGACCCGUCUUGAAACACGGACCAAGGAGUCAAGGUUUUGCGCGAGUGUUUGGGUGUCAAACCCGCACGCGUAAUGAAAGUGAACGUAGGUGAGAGCUUCGGCGCAUCAUCGACCGAUCCUGAUGUAUUCGGAUGGAUUUGAGUAGGAGCGUUAAGCCUUGGACCCGAAAGAUGGUGAACUAUGCUUGGAUAGGGUGAAGCCAGAGGAAACUCUGGUGGAGGCUCGCAGCGGUUCUGACGUGCAAAUCGAUCGUCAAAUCUGAGCAUGGGGGCGAAAGACUAAUCGAACCAUCUAGUAGCUGGUUACCGCCGAAGUUUCCCUCAGGAUAGCAGUGUUGUUCUUCAGUUUUAUGAGGUAAAGCGAAUGAUUAGGGACUCGGGGGCGCUUUAUAGCCUUCAUCCAUUCUCAAACUUUAAAUAUGUAAGAAGCUCUUGUUACUUAAUUGAACGUGAGCAUUCGAAUGUACCAACACUAGUGGGCCAUUUUUGGUAAGCAGAACUGGCGAUGCGGGAUGAACCGAACGCGGGGUUAAGGUGCCGGAGUGGACGCUCAUCAGACACCACAAAAGGCGUUAGUACAUCUUGACAGCAGGACGGUGGCCAUGGAAGUCGGAAUCCGCUAAGGACUGUGUAACAACUCACCUGCCGAAUGUACUAGCCCUGAAAAUGGAUGGCGCUCAAGCGUCCCACCCAUACCCCGCCCUCAGGGUAGAAACGAUGCCCUGAGGAGUAGGCGGCCGUGGAGGUCGUGACGAAGCCUAGGGCGUGA